rnacentral:rRNA from 2 species
GUCGAGAAUCAUUCACAAUGGGGGAAACCCUGAUGGUGCGACGCCGCGUGGGGGAAUGAAGGUCUUCGGAUUGUAAACCCCUGUCAUGUGGGAGCAAAUUAAAAAGAUAGUACCACAAGAGGAAGAGACGGCUAACUCUGUGCCAGCAGCCGCGGUAAUACAGAGGUCUCAAGCGUUGUUCGGAAUCACUGGGCGUAAAGCGUGCGUAGGCUGUUUCGUAAGUCGUGUGUGAAAGGCGCGGGCUCAACCCGCGGACGGCACAUGAUACUGCGAGACUAGAGUAAUGGAGGGGGAACCGGAAUUCUCGGUGUAGCAGUGAAAUGCGUAGAUAUCGAGAGGAACACUCGUGGCGAAGGCGGGUUCCUGGACAUUAACUGACGCUGAGGCACGAAGGCCAGGGGAGCGAAAGGG